rnacentral:snRNA from 1 species
AUCACUUCUUGGCCUUUUGGCUAAGAUCAAGUGUAGUAAAUGUUUCCACUACCUACCACACAAGAUCGUACGGGAUGCUUU